GUCUUCAUAGCUUAAUGGUUAAAGCAAAUCACUGUUAAUGAUUUGAUAAUGGUUCAAUUCCAUUUGAUGACU
rnacentral:tRNA from 1 species